rnacentral:rRNA from 1 species
UCCUACGGGAGGCAGCAGUAGGGAAUCUUCCGCAAUGGACGAAAGUCUGACGGAGCAACGCCGCGUGAGUGAUGAAGGCUUUCGGGUCGUAAAACUCUGUUGUUAGGGAAGAACAAGUGCUAGUUGAAUAAGCUGGCACCUUGACGGUACCUAACCAGAAAGCCACGGCUAACUACGUGCCAGCAGCCGCGGUAAUACGUAGGUGGCAAGCGUUAUCCGGAAUUAUUGGGCGUAAAGCGCGCGCAGGUGGUUUCUUAAGUCUGAUGUGAAAGCCCACGGCUCAACCGUGGAGGGUCAUUGGAAACUGGGAGACUUGAGUGCAGAAGAGGAAAGUGGAAUUCCAUGUGUAGCGGUGAAAUGCGUAGAGAUAUGGAGGAACACCAGUGGCGAAGGCGACUUUCUGGUCUGUAACUGACACUGAGGCUCGAAAGCGUGGGUAGCAAACAGGAUUAGAUACCCUGGUAGUCCACGCCGUAAACGAUGAGUGCUAGUUGUUUGGGGCUAUCCAGCCCUAAGUGACGCAGCAAACGCAUUAAGCACUCCGCCUGGGGAGUACGACCGCAAGGUUGAAACUCAAAGGAAUUGACGGA